GACGUAGGGCGCGAGCGUUGUCCGGAUUUAUUGGGCGUAAAGAGCUCGUAGGCGGCUUGUCACGUCGGGUGUGAAAGCCCGGGGCUUAACCCCGGGUCUGCAUUCGAUACGGGCUAGCUAGAGUGUGGUAGGGGGAGAUCGGAAUUCCUGGUGUAGCGGUGAAAUGCGCAGAUAUCAGGAGGAACACCGGUGGCGAAGGCGGAUCUCUGGGCCAUUACUGACGCUGAGGAGCGAAAGCGUGGGGGAGCGAACAG
rnacentral:rRNA from 1 species